rnacentral:rRNA from 1 species
AUGCAGCCAUGCCGCGUGUGUGAAGAAGGCCUUCGGGUUGUAAAGCACUUUCAGUAGGGAGGAAGGUAGUGUAGUUAACACCUGCACUAUUUGACGUUACCUACAGAAGAAGCACCGGCUAACUCCGUGCCAGCAGCCGCGGUAAUACGGAGGGUGCGAGCGUUUAAUCGGAAUUACUGGGGCGUAAAGCGCAUGCAGGCGGCCUGUUAAGUCAGAUGUGAAAGCCCGGGGCUUAACCUCGGAAUUGCAUUUUGAAACUGGCAGGCUAGAGUCUUGUAGGAGGGGGUAGAAUUUCAGGUGUAGCGGUGAAAUGCGUAGAGAUCUGAAGGAAUACCAGUGGCGAAGGCGGCCCCCCUGGACAAAGACUGACGCUCAGAUGCGAAAGCGUGGGGAGCAAACAGGAUUAGAUACCCCUGGUAA